rnacentral:lncRNA from 1 species
UGUAGAAGUCGUAGUAGUAAGAGCUCCACUGAACGAGAGAUAAAUUUGAAUUAUUCGUGUAAAUAGUUCAUUAAUGGCUAAAAGAACGCCUCACUCGAGUCAGUCAUAAAAUAAAGCCGAUGGUUUAACUACAGGAAUCCGUGGCGUUCAUCAUCAAGUGGGAGACUCGCCGUUUCUCCCUGGAUAGAAUACAAGUCUAUCGCAGGUAAACUUUUCCCAGAAGCUCUAUUUUCCAAAUAACUACUUUUGUUCAGUAAACAAGAAUGAAUCACAAACUUAAUAAGAUAUCACAUAGAUGCGACGCUCAUGGGAAAACACUUAUACACACACACACAGAAUCAUAUAUACUUGCAUAUUUAAGGGUAAGUCCAAGAUCCACUUCCCACGUAAGAUAUAAGCUCAGAGAAGUUUAAAGUCAAGUAAGUGUUUGUGUCAUAUAUUUCUUCUAUAGAUGUUACCAAUGCACACAUUUAAUACACAUACACACGCAGACGCAGGUUAUAGGGAGAGUGUAUGCAGACAUGUAUUAUUGUAUAUGCUAGUUGAACCUGAUGAUGGUGAAGAGAGGCUUUUAUUCUCAUUUACUACCAAAAUAAUUUUUACCCUAUAAAAUAUGUUAUGGCUGUAUGUGUGUGACCGUGUAUAUAUAUAUAUAUAUAUAUAUAUAUAGACAAACUAUUGAGUGUAUAUAUAUAUAUAUAUACAGACACGCAGGAUUGGUUUUAUAUAUAUAUAUAUACACAGACACGCAGGAUUGGUUAUAUAUAUAUAUAUAUACAUACAUACAUAUAUGCACGUGUGAGUGGACAAAAGAAAGGAAAGAGGCACUCAACACAUUUUAGUGAAGUACUAAGCCAACAAAUCGUGGGAAGGGAUAAAUUGGUUACAUGAAUUCCAGUUUUCAACUGGUACUUCUUUUGUCGACAGCGAAAGGAUGAUAACCGAAGGUGCUCCAGGCAGAAUUUGAACUCAGAACGUAAAGACGGAGGAAAUGCCGCUGAGCACUUUAUGCCUGGCGUGCUAACGAUUCUGCCACCUCGCCGCCUUCGGGGAUACAUAUAUUAUUAUAUAUUAUUAGUUCUAACAUUUAGAUUCGGGCCCCAUACAACUUUAAAGUUCCGUAGGCUUGUCACGGGAACCUAGCUCUAUAAACUCACAAACACACAUACACUCUUCCGAAAUAUCCCGAAUUUAUAUUUACAAGUUCUCUGAAAAUGUUUUAAUUUACUACACACACAACCUGUAUAUCAACUAAACACACACACACACACACACACACACACACACACACACACACACACACACACACACCUCGAUUGUGGUAUUGAUGAUGAUGAUGAUGAUGAUGAUUUAUCGUGCAUGUUGACAAAGCUAUCACAUUUAUAUUUAUUUGCUGCUUGAGCUGACACAGCAAAAUCAUAUUAAACGACGAGUUUUUGCUCAUUCUUAUCAUAUAUAGCCCUUGGUUAACAUUAAUCGCAGAAGAUCUAUGAUCAAAGCGUUCCCGCUAUGGUUAUUGCCCCCUGUAAAUCAGAUAUUAUCCGAAACAAAAUUAUCCGUUAAUGUGUCAAAUAUCUCAUUUCUCAAAAGACACUGGCGCUGGAUUUGUAGAAUAUUUGGCUGCUAUUUCUAGCAUUUCAACGAAUGCCUAUUUGGCACAUUCUCGUUUGCCGGUUAUCAGUGGAAUUACCCUAUAAGAAAACAAAUAAAUAAAAUCUACUACUACUACUACUACUACUACUACUACUACUACUACUACUACUACCACCACCACUACCACCACCACCACCGCCACCACCACCACCACAAUGUGUCAGGAAUUGUUCGACAGAUUAAAUUGAUCUCAUCACUUGACCAGGGAUUUAUUUUAUCGACCCCGGAGAAUAAAAGAUUUGAUCUCGGCAUGAUUUGAACUGUGAGUGUAAAGAAUAGUCUUAAAUGCCAAAGGGUGACUAUACAGUGGGAGAUUUCCUCUCAGGCAGGCAUCAGGAAUAUAUAUAUAUAUAUAUAUAUAUAUAUAUAUAUACUUUUUCAGCUUAUAUAUAUAUAUAUAUAUAUAUGUAUAUAUAUAUUAUAUAUGCAUGUAUAUAUAUAAUGAGAUAUAUAUAUAUAUAUAUAUAUAUACAUAAUAUAUAUAUAUAUAUAUAUAUAUAUAUAUAAUAUAUAUAUAUAUAUAUAUAUAUAUAUAUAUAUAUAUGAGAGAGAGUGAGAGGGAAGCAGUGUAUGUAUAUCUCUAUCUCACUGUAUGCGUAUAUGUGUAUGUGAGUAUACUAUAUAUAUAUAUAUAUAUAUAUAUAUAUAUAUAUAUAUAUAUAUAUACAUAAUGUUCACCUAUAUUCGUAUGUGAAUGUGUGUAGGUGUUCUGUGUUCGAGUGCAUGAGAGCGCGUAUGCGUCUAUAUCUCCGUCUGCGUAUUCGUGAAUCUGUGUAUGUACAUAAUACAAAACCAUGCAUCGAUCAAUAUAUAUUCCAGUUAUUUCAUUGUUGAUAUUCUCUUUGCUGUUUCUGUGUUAAUGGUUGAAGAAGUUGCCAAUAAUGUACGAAUGCUGAAAAAUCAAAGCUCAGCACAAUAUCACAGCAUGUUUUAUAGAUGUACACCUAUGUACGUUUGAUUAUAGAGUGAUCUCGUGUGUGUAUAUUUGUAUAAGGUUUAUAUCAGAAUGCAUUAUGAAAGCAUACAAUGUGUCCGUGUACUAAACUACAUAUUAUAUUAUGUGUAUAACAUAUCUAUGUAUUAUGUCUAUAUAGUAUGCAUAUAUGCAUAUCUAUAAAUUAUGUGUGUAUUACGUGUAUGUAUGUAUAUACUUCUGCAUUCUGCAUGUUAUGUAUGUAUUAUGCAUAUAUGAUCGAGAAAAGGUAUGAUUAAAGAGAUUCCAACUUUGACCAUCACGUCUUUUUUUAUAUGUCUGGAUGCCCAGUAGCUGAAUCGUUAUCGGAAAUGUUGUGGUAAGAUUUUUAGAGAAUUGGCGUGCCCUUUGGCUGAUAGUACUAGUGAAGGGACCAGACGGAAUUUCGCUCGUGGCUCGUAUACAUAGAUGCAUGCGUAUAUCUUUUAUGCCUUUAUUCUUUUAUCCGUUUCAGUCGUUUGACUGCGGCCAUGCUGGAACACCGCCUUUUAGACGAACGAAUCGACCCCAGGACUUAUUCUUUGUAAGCCUGGUACUUAUUCUAUCGGCUCUUUUGCCGAACCGCUAAGUUAUAUAUAUAGAUGGGGGCGAGUGUGUGCAUGUGUGUAUAUAUUUCUCUUAGGCAUUCUGAAACGAAUAACCUGGAGUAGAACUCAGUUAUACAUCGGAAUGAAGUUUUGUACGAGUACAGAGCGGUAAUAGAAAAUUAGACGACAAAGGAAUAACCAAUGAUCUAAUGAACUUCGUUAGAUAAUUGCUUUAUCCUUUGUCGUCUAAUUCACUUAUGUAGUGAGAUAGUGAGUGCUCCAGUAUGACAGUAGUUCCAUGUCUGAAACAUACAAAAAAAAUAGAUGUGUGUGCAUUUAUUUAUUUAUGUAUGGAUGUCUGUGUAUGUGGGUUUGUGAAUUUGGAUAUCUGUGUGUGUGUGUGUGAGAGAGAGAGAGAUCGAGGUGUUUUUGUUGUUGUUGUUGUGUGUGUACUCGUGUGUCAUAAGAUUUAUGUAAUACACAACUAUUAGCAACUCUUGUACAAACAAAUUUAUAAAUCCCAAAAUAAACUACAUACGGCUCAUAAAUAUGUAGAAAACAUUCUCCGUGACUCGUUGGAUAAAACAGAAUAUGUGAGAUGUUACAUAUAUUUGUUUAAGACUAGUAUCGAAAUAUAAACAUCGUUAUGAGCGCAAAUGUGUGUGUAUGCGUAUAUACGUGUAUGUGUACAUAAACACACGCAUGUAUACACACAUAUAAAAUGUGUGUGAAUAUUAUAGGUACAUAAAAAUGAAUAUACACCGAACAUAUAUAUAUAUAACUCAAAACAUCCAAAUAUGUGUGUGUGUGUGUGUGUAUUUGUGAAAAUGCAUUUGUUUUUAUAUUUGUAAUUAUGGGUGUGAAAAUAUAUGAACUCAUAAAUGCAUACAUAUAGAAGGAUGCAUGUAUAUGUAGGUGAAUGAUUGUGUGUGACAAUGUCUAUCAGAAAUUUACAAAGACAGAAAAAAGAAAAAAAGCAUUUAAUAAGUUCCACUCAACUCCAAACGAAGUUUCGUAGUUUGGUAGACAAACCUAUCCCAUCAAGUAUCGAGAGAAGAUGUGUGUGUGUGUGUAUAAAUCUUUUUGUAUAGAUAGACAGAUAGAUAGAGAGAUAGAUAAACUAACAGAUAGAUAGAUAGAUAGAUAAACUGACAGAUUGAUAGAUAGAUAGAUAGAUAGAUAGAUAGAUAGAUAGAUAGAUAGAUAGAUAGAUAGAUAGAUAGAUAGAUAGACCCACCCAACCCCACCCACGAAAGCGGUGUUGUAUUACAUCGGUCAGAUAUAUAUUUAUUAUACUUAGGGCGGCGAGCUGGCAGAAACGUAAGCACGUCGGGCGAAAUGCUUAGCGGUAUUUCGUCUGUCUUUGCGUUGUGAGUUCAUAUUCUGCCGAGGACGACUUUGCCUUUCAACCUUUCGGGGAAGAUAAAUUAAGGACCAGUUGCGUACUGGGGCCGAUCUAAUCGACUGGAUCCCCACCAAAAAAUUUCGGGCCUUGUGCCUAGAGUAGAAAAGAAUAUUAUAUACUUACAUAUAUACAUACAUAAUUAGGUACAUAUACAAAUAGUUUAAUAAAGAGUAUAAAGAAUAAUUUAAAGUUAUACUGUAUCAACACACACACACACACACACACAUGUACGAGAUCGUUACCACUACACGCAUAUACCAUUAAUCAUAAAUACGAUAUACCUUUCUAAGAUUCUUUAUGUAUACAUCAAUAUAUCAACACGUAUACGUAUACAGCGCAUAUGCAGUGAUAAUUUUUGUUUACUUAUGAAAGAAAAAAUAAACAGACAUCACAAAUAAGGUUAGAGAGAAGCUGAUCAUUGAACCCGCAUAUCGACAAUGCA